GGGCGAUUAGCUCAGCUGGGAGAGCACCUGCCUUACAAGCAGGGGGUCGGCGGUUCGAGCCCGUCAUCGCCCA
rnacentral:tRNA from 1 species